GUGCCAGCAGCCGCGGUAAUACGUAGGGUGCAAGCGUUGUUCGGAAUCAUUGGGCGUAAAGAGCGUGUAGGCGGUUUACCAAGUCGAUUGUGAAAGCCCUCGGCUCAACCGGGGAAGUGCAGUUGAAACUGGUAGGCUAGAGAACGGUAGAGGAAGGUGGAAUUCCAAGUGUAGAGGUGAAAUUCGUAGAUAUUUGGAGGAAUACCUGUGGCGAAGGCGGCCUUCUGGGCCGUUUCUGACGCUGAGACGCGAAAGCGUGGGGAGCAAACAGGAUUAGAUACCCUAGUAGUCC
rnacentral:rRNA from 1 species